rnacentral:tRNA from 1 species
GCACUUGUAGUUCAACGGCUAGAAUCCCGGCCUUCCAAGCCGGUGAUCCGAGUUCGAAUCUCGGCAGGUGCA